UUGGCCUCUAUUUUAGUUGGUUAAAGCAGGUUCAGAUGGGAUUGCCCGUGGUGGGGUGAUGCUGCUGGAGACAUCAGUGGCUCUGCUCUUGCAGGCUGUUUUCACAAUCCAGCCAAACUCCAUCCCUAGACAUGGCAGUGGAGAGAUGGAAGGUCCUUACAUGCUGUGAUGCUCUUUGUAUACUGCACCUCUCCUCAGUCCACACCUGGCUGCCAGCCAUGUUGCUAAUAGGUUCUUGAGCUGCUCUUCUUUCAUCGUGCCCAAAGUAUGAAGCUGAACAGUGAAGCGUGGCUGUCUCCUAGCCCAGGCAGGGCAAAGCAGUGUCCCAAACACCUAGCAAAACCAAUUAACCCAGCAUGAAGCCUUCCAGGAGUUAAAUCAGCUGCUCAGCCCCUGAAGACAUCUCCUUGCACUCCCUAGGCAGCUCCAUGGCACCAAGCCUUAGUGUUUGGCAAGCGAGCCCCUAACUGAUGCUCACAUAGGCUCUCCUGUGUGGGCAACCUGUGGCCAUUUAGCAGCAGGGAGCCAUUUGGGUGGGAAGGAGCUGCAGGACGAGUCCUCCUAGCUGUGCCGGGGCCAGGGGCUGUGGCAGGACUGCUGGGCGACCGCAGGCAGCAGCUCUGCCUGCACCCACAAGGGGCUCUCAGUAUGGUGAACCCUGCCCCCAGCCCUGGGGCACACAUCCAUGGCUCGUGCCAGCCUCCCAGCCCUAUCCCAUUUUUUUAUUUUCUACAAAGCUUUGUCCUCUGCCUAUGGCCACAAAAAUCAAGUUAAACAAGAGGGGAUGUGAAGAAUCUUGCUGGCAAUCUGAGCUCCAGACAGCGCCCAGUAAUCCCACCUCGAUGGGGAUUUCAGCAGACUGAGUCCUGGUGAUCAAGAUGGAGCAAGGGGAAAACGGGGCCACCGGCAGUGCAGCCGGCAGGCAGAUGGCCCGGGGCGGUGGGACCUCAAUCUGGCUGCAGCGUGAGUAUUUGGGACCGGUUAUGGACAGCGAGGAUGAGCAGAUCGGGCAAAGCCUUCACAGAGCAGCUUGGCAUGCCACAACCCAACCAGGCCUGCAAAUCCUGCUGCAGGCAGGGCUGGGGGGGGGGCCCCAAGACCAUCCCAUGUGCUGCUCUUGCUGAAGGGUGAGGAUAGGACAAGAGGUGUUUUUUGUUGUGUUUUUUUUUUUUUUUUUCUAUUCCAGCCUGUCAGUGUGGGACAAAAGGGUUAAGACCCCAGCGGGUUUGAUACCACACUGGCUUUUAAGUGCUCAGGGCAUCAAGAAUUUGCUCCUCGUUUGAGCCUGCUGCACAUCACACCUCCCUCUGCUGCACACCACACCUCCCUCUGCUGCACACAAGAUGCUUUUGCUCCCUGCAGAGAAGAUGGAGCUUGAAUGCAUGGUCCCACUCAUCCCCCUGCCCCAAGGCUGCUCAACGUCCUGCCUGCAGGCUCCCAGAGAUGGGGACAAGAGCUCCCAGGCAGCCCGGAGGCUGGGCUAGCAUUUGCCAGGAGUUGGGGAGAUAGAGGGGAAGCAGAAGGAAAAGCUUCCCUGCUCUCUGCACGCCUCCUGCCCCAUCAACCACUGCUCCAGGGCAUGGUGACGAGCCCUCCUUGGCCACGCUUUGGCAUGCAGUGGAAUGGGGAUCCAGGCCGGGGAGCACUGCCACAGCCACUGCUGCUUCCCUCCAGGACCAGGAAUGGCUUGGGGCCACCACCGCUCCAUCCCCUGGACUGGCCACCUUGGUCCCCUCCCUGCAGACCCCAGCACUGUCUGCCUCCUGCCUUCCUCCCGCUCCACCCUGGCUGCUGAGGAUAAAGAGGAGUGAGCAGAGAAGAUGGGAAGGAUGAAGCAGCAUUUUUGGGGACGAUUCAGCCAUCCAGGCUGGGCAAAACCCUGAUGCUGGUGUCAGCCUCUGCAACCCUUCAGACAGCAGCUUCCACCUCCCACUCAGGUCGUGUGGUAACAAGAACAUUGGUGAUUCAGGGUGAACAACAAUCUGCAAUACUGUGUGAGCAGAUAAUAAAAUGGCAGCUGGUACUGAAUGGGGAUAAAUGUGUUUUUCCUAUUUUCUUCUCUUUGCAGUCUUAUAAUGUGCACCAAGCUAUUCCCUCCCUCAAAUAAGAGCUCAGCUUUCACCAGAUAGUCCAAAAGCUGUUCAAAUGAGAGGCGCACGUUAAAAAUCACUUGGGAAAGAGGAGCCCGUAAAAGGUAGAACAUCAUUACAGCCCUUUACACAUCCAUAAUUCACUGAGAGCAUUUCUGCUCUCCCCACCUCAGAAGGAUAUAGCUAGACUGGAAAAGGUUCAAAAAGCAAUCGAGAUGAUAGCCAAAGGUCUGCAGUGGCUCUUAUACAAGAGUGUAUAAAUAGACUAGCACUUCCAUCUGGGGCAGGAUUUGUGGCUCAGGGACUUCAUAUUUAAUAGCCCAUGGUGGAGUUUUCCAUCCCUGACUGGAAGAGCAUUUGUGGGAAGAAUUAACUGCCCAUACGGCUUGUUCUUAUGGCAGCUGGCAGGACCGGCAAACCUAGCGCGGCCGCCAAGACCAGAGGUGCCGCAUGGUCAGUGGCGGCUCUGCACGAGCAGCGAGCCACAGCUCCCACCUGGCCAACGUCCCUUUGUCCCUCACGGUGGCCUCAUGACUGGGCUUUGCAGUUUGUGCGUGUGGCUGCUGGCUGCCCUGGCUGGGGAGGUAGGUCACAUCGCAGCAAUUCCUCUCUUCCCUAGCUUGUCAAUCACUUGAUGUUUUUCAAUAAGUGGGUUUAAUUUGGCUUUUAAAUACCUGGCGCAACAUGAGUGGCUGCAUGCCUGAAGGCAGCUUCAAUAUGGGUGAGCUUCAGCAAAAAAAAUAAAGCAAAAAUUUGGGCUGACGAGUAAUUAAAACGUGAGGACCGUCGACCCACCAGGCGCUGUGCUAUCCCCCCCCCCGGGGUGUGCAGGGCACACAGCUCCCUUUGCAUCCAUCUGGCACCACCUCGUGGGUAUCCAGCUUCUGCUCCUGGCCACCAUGGUGUUUUGUGGCCCUGUAGCACAGCUGGAAAGAUCUUUGGUAUUGCAAAUGUGCUUGUGUUCAUACCCACAGGCUGCAGCAUGGUGGGGAGGACUUCAGCUCCAGCCUUUGCCCUGGGGCUUUAUUCUGCUUUGGGUCUGGAUCACCAACUCCAAGUCUCCCACUACUGGGCAGGCUGUAGGUAGAGGGAGGCCACGGAAACCACCUUCUCCUGUGUUCCCUUUGAAAAGAAAGCAGGGGCUGCACCUUGGAGUCUCUGAGCCCUCCAGUGCUAAGUUUCCAGCCACUCACAAGGCAAUAAUACCGUAAUAAGGCAUUAAGUGGCUUCUGAAACCAUUAGCCAUUUGCUGCAUUAAAUGCUCGUGUUGCCACAGGGGAGGCUCCGUCAUUCCUCGGCCCUUUUUCAGAAAGGGGAUCAACAAGAAGCUUCCCAGAGGCUCAGGUUGGGGGGGGGGGGGUGCCCCGCCUCGUUGCAGCGGGAGCAAGCUGGGGUGAGGGCCCUCUGGCAUUGGAGGGCUGGGUGCUCACCUGGCUGGGUACACAGGUUGGGGUCCUGGGUGGGGGAGACUCACAGCAUGGGCAAGCCGGAGCAAAAGGUGCAAGUAGGAGGUUUUUGUUUCCGCUGGCAAUGAAGUGGGGGUGAGGGACUGGAGGAGGGAGCCAGGGACUUGUCUGAUGUACAAGUAAUCAGCUGUAUCAUCUUAUUUUGAAGGCUUUUUAGUUUAACAUAAAUAAAACCAUCCUAGAGAGAACAGGUAGCAACUGAGGCCAGAAACCAGGAGCGCCCACAAUAUUGGGCUAGCAUAGCUGUAACCCUUGCAAGGGCUAGCCAAGCCAAUCAUUCAUCUUUCUGCCAUAAACUUUGCUGGGAGUCAUGAAGGGAUUCAGAGAAAAAAAGGUCUUCAAAUGGCGCAGCCAGGCCAACCCUGGUACCAGCCUCGGCAGCAUCCCUGGGCCUGGCACCCUCCGAGGGCCGUUCCCCGCCUGCCGCCCCAACGCUUUCUCCUGCAAGGCUGCAAGAAGACACGCUGAGGGGUGACCUGCACCCAGGCUUGCAGGAAUCUUAAAAAAAAUUAUCUCUUGCCUUCUUGGCUGUCUUGGACCCAGGAGAGGGCAGCAGCAGCCCAGGCUGCAGUCUCAGCUACCCUUGCCAAAGCUGGUCUUCAACUCCUAAGCUGCUCAGAGAACGCUGAGAAAGAAAAGCAAUGUAUGCAGUGAGCAAGCAGAAAGCAAAACCGCAGUGAGCAGGCUAGUGGUACUCUCUUGGGCCUCAAAAUUGUCUGCUUUCAAGGUGGAAGUGGAAAGAAAACAGUCUUUCUUUGAAAACAAACUGGAGUGCCAAGGCUUUUCAUGGCAGUCUUUCAUUCUUUGGCUAUCAGUCAUCACUGUAUGGAUACUUUUUACAGCACCAGAAAAUAAGGUGGCGAUGCUGGGGCUGUUCCCAAUAGAGGUGGAAGGUAAGCACAGGCAAUGACAUGCAGUGCGUGCACUUCACACUGUUGCAGAGAUACUAAAAGCCCGUGAGAUCCUGCUCUGGAGCUAUUGUGGCUUCACUCAGAGCACUUCAGGACAAUGAAACAUGAUUACCAGCACUUCAAGGGCACGUCAGCUGCCUUUCUCUUGCUAAGCUUGCUGUCCCUGAAAGGGGGUGUUGGAAACAGGGGAAGUUUCUACUUCUCCACCUUGGUACCCCAAACACAGGCUCCCUUCCAGCCUGGUCUGAGGUUCACAGCAGACCGCUGCGAAACUCUUCCUGCACAUUUUCACUCACAGCAUCACCUUUUUAGGUCAGCAUCUUCCGGUGCAGCUGUGGCCCUGCCUUUCAGCCCAGCCAGCCUGAUGGCACCCUCCUGGUUUUACUGAAUGAGAUCACCAGGAUGAGUCAUGUAGCAGGUGAGAGGGAGGAGAACAUCCUUACAGCCACACUGAAAUCCUAGCCACCCCUUUGACAACACGUUAUGGAGCCAACCUGGCUUUUGCUGCAGGCACUUCCAUUUCUGCGAGUGUCGGUCUUCCCUGGGGCACAUGGGAGGCAGCAUGCGCCUCUCCUGGCUUGCAGCAUAAACCACGUGGCCUCCAUUCUCAGUCCAGCUCAAUUGAUUCUUUUUUUUUUAGUUCACACUCUCUGAAAUCACAGCAAAGUGCAAAAUUGUUGCUUACCAAAGCUGUUCUUCUGAAAUGAGUCAUUAAAGAAGGAGCCUUGUCAUUCUGCCAGACACAGCCUGGUUGCUUCUCUAGAUGUAAGGACACAAGAGAACAGCUUGCUGCUCUGUUUCUUCAACCUGCCUGCACCCUGGGUGUUACCCAGCGUCCAUCCAGAGCCUGGACAGAGUAAGUCCUGCCUUAUUCCUGCUUCUUUGGAUGACCAGCUCUUUUCACCCCAUUUUUGGGUGAAGGCCCUGCGUGUCUGUAAGCUGGCUCGGAUUCAGUUCCUUUAAUUGUGUGUGCAUUCAGGAGCUCUUGCAUGUCUUGAUGGCUUGAAGCCCAGCGGGUGUUCAUCGGCUGGGGGGGGGGGAUCUGGUAAGGAGAUCCACAUGUCCUAUCGUGUGUGCCUUUGUGAGCUACUGAACUUGAAGCUGUUGGGCUGAUGAAUGCAAUGGUCCUCAACGCUUGUACAUGUGGUAACAUUUUGGUGAUGCCGUGCUUUGUACCAGGCUAGCAGCUUGUUUGGGGAGCUACCUCUGUGUCCAGCACUCCUGCAAAAUAGAUCUUUUAUUCUGAAAACCCUUCAGCCAAACUCAGUCUUGCCUCUUGCAUCCAUCACUCCCUCCCUGGUGGCACCAGGGCAGAGGAGAGGCUGUGGAGAGAAGGAGCAGCAGUAAUUUCUUCACAUCUGAUGCUGCGUCCACACCAGCUAUUGGGAGACAUUACAAAAAUCACUACAUACAGCCUGACUUUCUUUUUCCCCUGAGAUGAUGUCCUAAGUCUGCAAAGUCAAUGGGAACAGUGUAUUCUUGCUGCUUGAGAAAAGCCAAGCUGCAAUAUUAGAUAUCUUACUGCAAUUUGGAGGUUAGUUCCUUACCCUGAUGUUUUGGACUUCCCCUCCCUGGCAUGCAUGAGGUUUUCUUCUUAAAUCAGUACCAGAGACAGGAGUCAGAUACGGGUCUUUUGGAAGCUUGUCUUGUGUGUCUAGUGCGAGACCCAAGAGCACAUGUGAAGCUAGACCUACUUUGCAUGACUGCUCUUAGUUCCCUCUCUCUGUUUGUAGUCUAGAGCUGACCUGGCCCAAAAAAAAGCAUUUCUGAGGUGUUUUGUGUUCACCUCCACCCAGCUGUAAGCGACUCACAGCAAGCUGUAGAGCACAGAUCCCUGAAUUUUCUUUCUUCAUUCUUUCUUCUUCCUCCACAGACACUCCCCAGCUGAAUCCUGUGAUGGAACCCCUGUCCUGGAUGCUGGGCACCUGGCUCUCAGACCCGCCAGGAGACGGCACCUUCCCUACAACAAAGCCCUUUGAGUACCUGGAAGAAGUGCACAUCUCUCACGUGGGGCAACCCAUGCUCAACUUCUCCUAAGUCCAGAGGUGUGUUGGCAGCAGCUUUUGGAUCUGAGCAGGAGAAAAAGCAGUGCAGGAACACAAGUGACAUCUGCUGUGAGACUGAGACCACUUCAGUUUUUCUAGUUGCUUUGAAGAAGGUGAACCUACUGCCAAUGUUUGACAAGGGAGACGUAUAAGUAAGGCUGUGGUUGAAGCAAUGUCAGGUCUAGGACACAAUAAGGAUUGCUCAAAUGCCCGUCAUUGAAAUACCCAAGCCGAGACAGCUUUUCUGCUCCCUACCUUUUUGAUAAAGCAAACAUUUCCAUUCACUGAAUGUUGGUCUAUUACAAAGAAACAGAAAAUGAAGAUGGCGCCGGGGGGUGUGUGUGGGAUAAUCCUUACAGGAGCAAGUUCUUCUGUGAGCAAAGGAGUGCUGAAGCUCAGGUUCCGGCAGGCUCAACUCUGACCUUGACAUUCCCCACUGUAAUAAUGCACAGGCCACUCUCAUCUGCAAAAUACUCCACAUACACUAAAAUAUUUAAGAUGCUGUUUCCCCAUCUCCAACCCUUUCCCCCUCCUCCCGCUACUCCCUAGGCAUCUCCUGUACCUCCACCCGGCCCCCACUGCAACAACCUCACCUUCCCCCUGUGCACCCAGUUCUGGUGAGACAGCAAGGCAGGAGGCAGCAAAAGCAAAAGCUUGGCUGGAUUUUACAUGUGCCAAGUGACUGCUGCCUAAUGGGGUGAACAGCAGCCACAUUUUCCGGUGCUAAAAUGAGGUCUGUCCCCUGCCCCUGUUGCGACUGCUGCCCUUUAGCAAAAGGGGAUGAAAUUGGGCAGUGGACUGAAAGGUCACUGAGGACAGGGAGCAACCCCCCAAGACAGUUUGUUCAUAGGUUAGUCUCACUUAGAACAUUCAGUAUGAGCAAGACAGCU